rnacentral:rRNA from 1 species
GACGAACGCUGGCGGCGUGCCUAAUACAUGCAAGUCGAGCGAAGUUUUUCUGGUGCUUGCACUAGAAAAACUUAGCGGCGAACGGGUGAGUAACACGUAAAGAACCUGCCUCAUAGACUGGGACAACUAUUGGAAACGAUAGCUAAUACUGGAUAACAGCAUUAACUGCAUGGUUGAUGUUUGAAAGUUGGUUAUGCUAACACUAUGAGAUGGCUUUGCGGUGCAUUAGCUAGUUGGUGGGGUAAAGGCCCACCAAGGCGACGAUGCAUAGCCGACCUGAGAGGGUGAUCGGCCACACUGGGACUGAGACACGGCCCAGACUCCUACGGGAGGCAGCAGUAGGGAAUCUUCCGCAAUGGGCGAAAGCCUGACGGAGCAACGCCGCGUGAGUGAAGAAGGAUUUCGGUUCGUAAAGCUCUGUUGUUAGGGAAGAAUGGAUAUGUAGUAACUAUACAUGUACGAGACG